CUUGCGCAAGCUGGACUGACACCUCUACUAACGGAGGUCCUACUUGGUGAUGGAGGGCAUGAUCCAUGAGUAGGCAAGGACUGUGAUCUAACUGCAGGAAUUACUAAAGACAUUCUAUUUGAUAAAUUUGCUGAAACAAGCUUAUGAGCUCCGGAUACCUGUAGGGAAUCAUCAUCUGCAGAAUUUGCCCCAGACCUUAUCCUGCCACUAUCUUCUAGACAUGAUAAUU
rnacentral:misc_RNA from 1 species